AUUGAACGCUGGCGGCAAGCCUAACACAUGCAAGUCGAACGAGUGGCGGACGGGUGAGUACUGUCUGGGAAACUGCCUGAUGGAGGGGGAUAACUACUGGAAACGGUAGCUAAUACCGCAUACCAUCGGAUGUGCCCAGAUGGGAUUAGCUAGGGGGUGGGGUAAAGGCUCACUAAGGCGACGAUCCCUAGCUGGUCUGAGUGGAUGACCAGACACACGGGAACGGAGACACGGUCCAGACUCCUACGGGAGGCAGCAGUGGGGAAUAUUGCACAAUGGGAGCAAGCCUGAGGCAGCCAUGCCGCGUGUAUGAAGAAGGCCUUCGGGUUGUAAAGUACUGUCAGCGGGGAGGCGUUACCCGCAGAAGAAGCACCGGCUAACUCCGUGCCAGCAGCCGCGGUAAUAC
rnacentral:rRNA from 1 species